AAAGCUGAUUGUGAUAGUUCUUAGAUAUUCCAUUCAAUUAUCAGCAACGAUUUGACACGGAUGUCAAAUCGAGCGAAAACGCAACAGGACGUUGCGUAUGAGCGGUUGCGUUCGUAGCAAAAACUUAUAAGGAAUAUCUUAGAAAUAUCCAAUCAG
rnacentral:ncRNA from 1 species